rnacentral:lncRNA from 1 species
GCGCUGACAUUAAUGACGUUUUGAAAGCUCUGGCCUCCGAAGCCGGAUGGGUGGUGGAACCCGACGGCAACACUUAUCGCUCCCAGGUAACCUCCAUGCCCGGGCCUUGCGUCCAUUCCUUGGGAUUCUCAAUGCACAACGUUUUAAUUCAUUUAACUGCGCGCUAAUGGUGUACUCUUGCAAUCAAUGAAAGCAGCUCUCGCUAAUGCUCUUAGCUAGAUAAAUUUAAGUCCAAAGCUUCAAAAUCUUAUUUAUUCAAUGCAAGGGGAUUACCCCGUCUGUGUCAAAAAGGAGAAAAAGAAAAGAAAAGAAAGAAUCCUACUUUUUUGUUAAAGAAUUUGAUAGUUGCCCUGAAUUAGGGCUGGUGAAGGAUACUUCAAGUUGAAUGAGUAGCGACCAAGUAGAAUAAUCGUGAUUGAUCAUCAAUUAUUCAGCCACCAGACCAGAAAUCUUGCUCUUGUUUGACUUGAUUGGAUGUAGUAAUUUUCUGCAUCUCAACUAUAUUCACAUUGAUGUAUCUUGUUUGUUUCGUUGUGUUCAAUUGCAGCAU